AUGAUGGAUAUGAGCCCGUAACUCGUUAGGACACUGGCCAUUAAUAUCCGAUUUACAUAAGAUACCACGGGUGCACCCACCAGAACUGGGCUUAAAUUCCAUUGGCACAUUGAAUCCGUCCGCAAGAGACAUAUCAAAGAAAUCAAGAUUGUUGUACUGAUUUAGAGAGUACUCGGCCAAUGUAUUGGGUGGUGUACCAUAGUUUUGGCAUCGUAGGAGACCAUUACAAUCACCGGUUUGACACUUGCCUCGUCCAGAACCAUCAAAGUUGCAAUUGGUACGGGGCCAUAUACGCCCUACUGUGCUAGAUGGGACGGAUAAAGCCCAGGUUUGACCCGAGUUAAGUUGUUGGCCGCCACCAGGCACGGCACCUACCCAAACGGUGUACGGACAGUUGUUUAGAAUAGUGAAAACUGCCGCAUUGGUGGAGCGAAAAAGAAAAAUUAAGAGAAGGAAAAUGGAAAGGGUGAAUGUGG
rnacentral:lncRNA from 1 species